UCUCACAGCCCUGCCCCAAAACAAUGUUUAACUAGAUAUCUGGACAUCCCAUGGCCCAAUCAAGUUGCCCCAUAAAAUUAAGCAUCACAA